GAGGAAUAUUGGUCAAUGGACGCAAGUCUGAACCAGCCAAGUAGCGUGCAGGAUGACGGCCCUAUGGGUUGUAAACUGCUUUUAUGUGGGAAUAAAUUGGCGCACGUGUGCGCCAUUGCAUGUACCUCAUGAAUAAGGACCGGCUAAUUCCGUGCCAGCAGCCGCGGUAAUACGGAAGGUCCGGGCGUUAUCCGGAUUUAUUGGGUUUAAAGGGAGUGUAGGCGGUCUGUUAAGCGUGUUGUGAAAUUUAGGUGCUCAACAUUUAACUUGCAGCGCGAACUGUCAGACUUGAGUACACGCAGCGCAGGCGGAAUUCAUGGUGUAGCGGUGAAAUGCUUAGAUAUCAUGAGGAACUCCGAUCGCGAAGGCAGCCUGCGGGAGUGUUACUGACGCUUAAGCUCGAAGGUGCGGGUAUCGAACAGGAUUAGAUACCCUGGUAGUCCGCACAGUAAACGAUGGAUGCCCGCCGUUGGCGCCCUGCGCCUGCGGCCAAGCGAAAGCAUUAAGCAUCCCACCUGGGGAGUACGCCGGCAACGGUG
rnacentral:rRNA from 1 species